CACCCUCAGCAGCUUGUUCCCGCCUCCUGUAGGCGCAAUUUGCCCAGAAAACGGAGGAGCGUUUCUUUAUAUAUUCCUGCGGGUUUCUGCAGCUUCAUAUCUCCGGCCCUGGGACUCCUCCACCACCAUGCUGAAGCUGCUCUCUGAGGACAUCUGAAGUGAAAUGCAUCCUCCUCCUGCAGCAGCUGAACCUGUUCCUGUUCUUCCAUCCUGCAGCACACAAAGCCUGUGAGAGCAGGCCGUGUUUGUCCUUUCACCAGCACAGAGAAGAGCCAGCUGAUGAUGCUCAAACAUGUCGGGCAAUCUCUACAAAGGCAACGAAGUCAGCUGCUGCAUCAAAUACUUCAUCUUCGGAUUCAACAUCCUGUUCUGGCUGCUGGGCAUGGCCUUAGUUGGAAUCGGACUGUGGGCAUGGAGUGAGAAGGGGGUUCUGUCCAACAUCUCGUCCAUCACAGACCUGGGGGGGCUGGACCCAGUCUGGCUCUUCAUGGUGGUCGGGGCGGUCAUGUUCAUUCUGGGCUUUGCAGGAUGCAUCGGAGCGCUACGGGAAAACACGUUUCUACUCAAGUUUUUCUCGGUGUUUCUGGGUAUCAUCUUUUUCUUGGAGCUGACGACAGGAGUGCUGGCGUUCGUCUUUAAGGACUGGAUUAAAGACCAGCUCAACCUGUUCAUCAACAACAACAUCCGGGCGUACCGGGACGACAUCGAUCUGCAGAACCUCAUCGACUUCACUCAGGAAUACUGGGAUUGCUGCGGUGCGUUCGGAGCAGACGACUGGAACCUGAACAUCUAUUUUAACUGUACUGACGCCAAUCCCAGUCGGGAAAAGUGUGGCGUUCCCUUUUCCUGCUGCACCAAGGACCCAGCGGAGGAUGUAAUAAACACUCAGUGUGGAUACGACAUUCGGGCUAAACCGGACGCGGAGCAGAAGGACUACAUCAAUGUUAAAGGCUGCGUGCCGCAGUUUGAGAAAUGGCUACAGGACAACCUAACGUUAGUGGCCGGGAUCUUUAUCGGAGUUGCUCUACUGCAGAUUUUUGGGAUUUGUUUGGCCCAAAACUUAGUGAGCGACAUCGAAGCAGUGCGGGCGAGCUGGGUGCCCCCCCCUCUCUCCAUUCGCCGACUCCCACCUCACCCGAGCAAGAAAGCAGCGGCUUACUACUCAUGAGACACGCACACGCACACACGUGCUGUAUGUGUGUGUUUGUAGCCGUUUCUUUACCUGAUGCUGAAGCAGCAUUUUACUUCUAACAGCUGCGGGUCUUUGAAGGCGCCUCCUUGAACACAUCGUCAGAGGACCUCACCGAUCGCCGGCACCAUUUUGUUCACUGAACCAGCACCUUUUUUUCGAGGCACUAAUACGUGAAAUGCUCUGUAUAUAACACUUUGUGAGUUUGUUGGGGGAGGGAGGUUUAAACAUGCACUACAUGCAGGAUCGUCACAAUGCUCAGUUUUGAUAGCUACGCGUAGAGAAGACGUAGGAGUUUUGAUACAUCUUUUUGAUAUUAGAUCGGUAUUUUUCACUGUGGACUUAACGCUCCAUUGCUAAACCCAUCAUGUAGGACUGGAAUAGUUGUGUACAAGAAAACUGAGGAUCUGCUUCUGUUAAAGUUGAGUGCUUGCUUUAUGUACCUUUCCACCACUGGUCUAGGACUGAGGCUCUGUAAUGUUCCGAAACUAUAAACAGGAUGUCCUUUUUUUUAAUGCUUCAGCUACAUGCAUUCCAUUUCAACCAAUCACAACAAGCGUUUCUGCUCACUGAAUAAUCUGCUUUAGCUAAACAGAAUUCUUGUCGUCGCACGAACAGUGAAUUUGGAUUCCUGUUUAUGUGUGCGUGCUGUCAUGGUGUCAGAGAUGAGCCAAACAUUCUCCACAUAGACAGCUUUAAAGAGGAAAUGACUACAAAUUACUCCGGUUAUUUACUGUAGCGUAAUGACUUACUACUCAACUAGUCUAUAAACAGAUAUACCUGCAUAUGAAUGCAGAAUCUGUGAGAAGAUUUUGGCAUCGGAAGCGUUCUGGUUUCCGUUUGUAGUCCAAGUAGUAUCGACCAAUCCCAUUUGAGCAUGUUGAAUGCAGGUAAAUAGUCUCUGUGGAGAGCAAAAGAGGCGGAACGCAUCGGUCGAAAUGCAUUCUUGGAACCCACCGGCUAUCGUCUGAAGAUGAUUUAGCUUUUUAUUGGUUUAAAAUUAGCACGUACACGUCGUCUCUCAACUCCAACUCCAGUCUCGGACUGUGAGGAAGUCUUGGCCCAGAUAUCCGUUAUCUGGAUAUCCGCUGGCUACACUGGAAUUCCAGAAAUAUAGAUCCCCAGAGGCUUAUCGUCAUCAAACCGAUAGCCGAUGGGUUCAGAGAUCGCUACUCAACUUAUGGAGUUUAGUGAUGAGUAUACUGCUUUUCACAUUUAGGUCCGGGUAUCAAACAAUACUUUUUUUUGGUAUUGACUGAAAUCAAGUACCGAAACCUGGCACUGCAUGUCAGAUACUUUAAUUAACUUCUUUUCAAUUUUAGAGGAUUUUAUUUGGGUAAAGUUCUUGUAUAGCAGCUUGUGUUUAGACAACAUUUAAAAUAAUAAUAAUAAUAAUAAUAAUAACUUUGGCUUCUUUUAUUGAUGGAUAUUUUUUUUCAAGUCGAUCUCAAGACAAUACAGUUAAAAAAUACAAUGCUGUCUGUAGGGUUGAAACAAUUAUUGGAUGCUAUAAUCACUCCGUCUCUCAAUACUGACCCAUGAAAUGAUCCGUAGCUCCGUGUAAAAAUGCUAUCCAGAGGUGGAAACUGAAGCUUUAACAGUCAGAGUUAGCCCGAAUCAUCUAGGUAGCUGUCUAGGCAGAGGUGUUCGGUCCCAGCAACUAAAAAAACAUCCCAACUUUGCAAGAUACACAUGCGAUUUGGUUAACAGAAUACUUAGGAGGACCAAUAACUUAACGUCCACGUUGUGUGUGGGUAUUAAGAUUGGCUUGAAGAAUCAGAUCUAACCCCUUUAAUGAAAAAUUUGUCAAAAACAUAUUUGUAUUUCUCAAACUAAUUAAUCAAAAAAGGUUAAGUUUUGGCAUCUGUACCGAAAAUCCAACACUAGCCCAGUCCCAUCACACUGUAUCCCCUUUUUAAAACAUUUAUUCAGACGUUAAACAGUCUGGAUAAUUCUGAAACUGAACCUACGUAGCUGUAACCUCACUGUCAUUUCACGGUCAUAUUUUGGUUGUAACCGUCGCCAAGGAGAUUAUGUUUUACUUUACAGUUUAGUGGAUAGAACAUGAACCAAGGAUCAAGUCAUUUUUCCAUUUUUCAGAUAGCGAGAUGGGCGUUUUGGAACAUUUUCAAUAUCGUCUUAUACAUUUUCUGCCCUUACUUGAAUGAAAACAAACCAUCCAGCGAUUGUCUUUCACUACGCACAUCUGAUCAGUGUAUACAAGUUUGAGUGAACAAAAUCUUUAAAUCCAUUCUGGUAUUGAAACAAAUGGAAAGUGUUAAAGAUGUGGAUUUAUUUCUCCGUGUUUCUUUUGAUGGUUUAAAAGCGAUUAUUUGCUCAGAGCAUGCAUCACUUGUUUUUGUUUUGCGAAGUAUUUACAGUAUUUUUUCAGUAAAGUAUGUUCGGAUUGAUAUUGUGGAACUCGUACACUGUUACAAGUGUUAAGCUACGUUAAAAAAAGGGAUCGAUAGUGUUUUUUGAUACUAAAUAUUUAUUGUACAUUUUGAUUUGGCUUCAUGACUUCCCUUGGUGUAUUGGACGGCAACGCAUUCGUUACUACUGAAGCCGAUUGGUCGCUCUACAGAUUAGAGCUGUGUGAGGUUGUAAAUGCUCGAAUGUGGUGUGCUAGAGUCUGUCACUCAUCACUACCUGUACCACUUCUACUGAUUGUUUCACAGUAUGUCCCACAAACACUGUAAUGUAACUACCUCCUCUAAUUUCCUGUCUCAUGUCCUGUUGAAAUUGGACUGAUUUUAAUAUCAAGUAAAAUUAAUUAAGGUGACAAAAAAA